rnacentral:rRNA from 1 species
UACGUAGGGUGCGAGCGUUGUCCGGAAUUAUUGGGCGUAAAGAGCUCGUAGGCGGUGUGUCACGUCGGCCGUGAAAACCUGGGGCUUAACUCUGGGCGUGCGGUCGAUACGGGCAUCACUAGAGUUCGGCAGGGGAGACUGGAAUUCCUGGUGUAGCGGUGAAAUGCGUAGAUAUCGGGAAGAACACCAAAGGCGAAAGCACUCUGCUGGGCCGAAACUGACACUGAUAGACGAAAGCUAGGGGAGCAAAUGGG